rnacentral:rRNA from 1 species
UACAGAGGUGGCAAGCGUUGUUCGGAAUUACUGGGCGUAAAGGGCGCGUAGGCGGCCUUCUAAGUCAGACGUGAAAUCCCCCGGCUUAACCUGGGAACUGCGUCUGAUACUGGGAGGCUUGAGUAUGGGAGAGGGAUGUAGAAUUCCAGGUGUAGCGGUGAAAUGCGUAGAUAUCGUGAGGAAGACCAGUGGCGAAGGCGGGUCUCUGGACAGUUCCUGACACUGAGGCACGAAGGCCAGGGGAGCAAACGGG